rnacentral:rRNA from 1 species
UACAGAGGUGCCAAGCGUUAGGCGGAAUCACUGGCUUAAAGCGCGUGUAGGCGGGUCGUUAAGUGUCCGAGUGAAAUCCCACGGCUCAACCGUGGAACUGCCGGGCAUACUGGCGAUCUUGAGGCAUUCAGGGGCGAGCGGAACAAAUGGUGGAGCGGUGAAAUGCGUAGAUAUCAUUUGGAACGCCAAUGGUGAAAACAGCUCGCUGGGAAUGAUCUGACGCUGAGACGCGAAAGCCAGGGAGCGAACGGG